rnacentral:rRNA from 1 species
AUUGAACGCUGGCGGCAUGCCUUACACAUGCAAGUCGAACGGCAGCACGGGUGCUUGCACCUGGUGGCGAGUGGCGAACGGGUGAGUAAUACAUCGGAACAUGUCCUGUAGUGGGGGAUAGCCCGGCGAAAGCCGGAUUAAUACCGCAUACGAUCUACGGAUGAAAGCGGGGGACCUUCGGGCCUCGCGCUAUAGGGUUGGCCGAUGGCUGAUUAGCUAGUUGGUGGGGUAAAGGCCUACCAAGGCGACGAUCAGUAGCUGGUCUGAGAGGACGACCAGCCACACUGGGACUGAGAAACGGCACAGACUCCGACGGGAGGCAGCAGUGGGGAAUUUUGGACAAUGGGCGAAAGCCUGAUCCAGCAAUGCCGCGUGUGUGAAGAAGGCCUUCGGGUUGUAAAGCACUUUUGUCCGGAAAGAAAUCCUUGGCCCUAAUACGGUCGGGGGAUGACGGUACCGGAAGAAUAAGCACCGGCUAACUACGUG